rnacentral:sRNA from 1 species
CCUACUUUUGGCCAGGGCCUUCUGUGCCACCUGCCAAGGCCAGCAGGCCUACCCUCUGAAGAGGUCCAAGCAACGGAAGUACUACUACGAAGCUGCCUUUCUGGCCAUCCUUGAGAAAAACAGACAGAUGGCCAAGGAGAGGGGCCUAAUAAGCCCCAGUGAUUUUGCCCAGCUGCAAAAAUACAUGGAAUACUCCACCAAAAAGGUCAGUGAUGUCCUAAAGCUCUUCGAGGAUGGCGAGAUGGCUAAAUAUGUCCAAGGAGAUGCCAUUGGGUACGAGGGAUUCCAGCAAUUCCUGAAAAUCUAUCUGGAAGUGGAUAAUGUCCCCAGACACCUAAGCCUGGCACUGUUUCAAUCCUUUGAGACUGGUCACUGCUUAAAUGAGACAAAUGUGACAAAAGAUGUGGUGUGUCUCAGUGAUGUUUCCUGCUACUUUUCCCUUCUGGAGGGUGGUCGGCCAGAAGACAAGUUAGAAUUCACCUUCAAGCUGUACGACACGGACAGAAAUGGGAUCCUGGACAGCUCAGAAGUGGACAAAAUUAUCCUACAGAUGAUGCGAGUGGCUGAAUACCUGGAUUGGGAUGUGUCUGAGCUGAGGCCGAUUCUUCAGGAGAUGAUGAAAGAGAUUGACUAUGAUGGGAGUGGCUCUGUCUCUCAAGCUGAGUGGGUCCGGGCUGGGGCCACCACCGUGCCACUGCUAGUGCUGCUGGGUCUGGAGAUGACUCUGAAGGACGAUGGACAGCACAUGUGGAGGCCCAAGAGGUUCCCCAGACCAGUCUACUGCAAUCUGUGCGAGUCAAGCAUUGGUCUUGGCAAACAGGGACUGAGCUGUAACCUCUGUAAGUACACUGUUCACGACCAGUGUGCCAUGAAAGCCCUGCCUUGUGAAGUCAGCACCUAUGCCAAGUCUCGGAAGGACAUUGGUGUCCAAUCACAUGUGUGGGUGCGAGGAGGCUGUGAGUCCGGGCGCUGCGACCGCUGUCAGAAAAAGAUCCGGAUCUACCACAGUCUGACGGGGCUGCAUUGUGUAUGGUGCCACCUAGAGAUCCACGAUGACUGCCUGCAAGCGGUGGGCCAUGAGUGUGACUGUGGGCUGCUCCGGGAUCACAUCCUGCCUCCAUCUUCCAUCUAUCCCAGUGUCCUGGUGAGACCCUCGGCAGCAGCGGGGAGGGGACAGGAGUGCCUCCCCGAUUUCCCACACGCACAGAGUGGCAUUUAGAAUAGAGAGCUCGUACUUUUAGGAUUCAAGUCAGACCCCUCUAUUUAGGGAUUCAUGCAUAAUACAGCUUUCCUUACCUCUGCUUUCCUCCCCUCCCAGGC